rnacentral:tRNA from 1 species
GUCUCUGUAGCUCAGUUGGAUAGAGCAUUCGCCUCCUAAGCGAAGGGUCGCAGGUUCGACUCCUGCCAGAGACGCCA